GACGAACGCUGGCGGCGUGCUUAACACAUGCAAUUCGAACGGAAAGGCCCUGCUUUUGUGGGGUGCUCGAGUGGCGAACGGGUGAGUAACACGUGAGUAACCUGCCCUUGACUUUGGGAUAACUUCAGGAAACUGGGGCUAAUACCGGAUAGGAGCUCCUGCUGCAUGGUGGGGGUUGGAAAGUUUCGGCGGUUGGGGAUGGACCCGCGGCUUAUCAGCUUGUUGGUGGGGUAGUGGCUUACCAAGGCUUUGACGGGUAGCCGGCCUGAGAGGGUGACCGGCCACAUUGGGACUGAGAUACGGCCCAGACUCCUACGGGAGGCAGCAGUGGGGAAUAUUGCACAAUGGGCGGAAGCCUGAUGCAGCAACGCCGCGUGCGGGAUGACGGCCUUCGGGUUGUAAACCGCUUUCGCCUGUGACGAAGCGUGAGUGACGGUAAUGGGUAAAGAAGCACCGGCUAACUACGUGCCAGCAGCCGCGGUGAUACGUAAGGUGCGAGCGUUGUCCGGAUUUAUUGGGCGUAAAGGGCUCGUAGGUGGUUGAUCGCGUCGGAAGUGUAAUCUUGGGGCUUAACCCUGAGCGUGCUUUCGAUACGGGUUGACUUGAGGAAGGUAGGGGAGAAUGGAAUUCCUGGUGGAGCGGUGGAAUGCGCAGAUAUCAGGAGGAACACCAGUGGCGAAGGCGGUUCUCUGGGCCUUUCCUGACGCUGAGGAGCGAAAGCGUGGGGAGCGAACAGGCUUAGAUACCCUGGUAGUCCACGCUGUAAACGGUGGGUACUAGGUGUGGGGUCCAUUCCACGGGUUCCGUGCCGUAGCUAACGCUUUAAGUACCCCGCCUGGGGAGUACGGCCGCAAGGCUAAAACUCAAAGGAAUUGACGGGGCCCCGCACAAGCGGCGGAGCAUGCGGAUUAAUUCGAUGCAACGCGUAGAACCUUACCUGGGUUUGACAUGGAUCGGGAGUGCUCAGAGAAGGGUGUGCCUCUUUUGGGGUCGGUUCACAGGUGGUGCAUGGCUGUCGUCAGCUCGUGUCGUGAGAUGUUGGGUUAAGUCCCGCAACGAGCGCAACCCUUGUUCACUGUUGCCAGCACGUUAUGGUGGGGACUCAGUGGAGACCGCCGGGGUCAACUCGGAGGAAGGUGGGGAUGACGUCAAGUCAUCAUGCCCCUUAUGUCCAGGGCUUCACGCAUGCUACAAUGGCUGGUACAGAGAGUGGCGAGCCUGUGAGGGUGAGCGAAUCUCGGGAAGCCGGUCUCAGUUCGGAUUGGGGUCUGCAACUCGACCUCAUGAAGUCGGAGUCGCUAGUAAUCGCAGAUCAGCAACGCUGCGGUGAAUACGUUCCCGGG
rnacentral:rRNA from 1 species